UGGGGAAUAUUGCACAAUGGGCGCAAGCCUGAUGCAGCGACGCCGCGUGGAGGAUGAAGGCUUUCGAGUUGUAAACUCCUGUUAAGUGGGAAGAAAGACUGUUGGUGAAUAAUCAACGGGGAUGACGGUACCACUAGAGAAAGCACCGGCAAACUUCGUGCCAGCAGCCGCGGUAAUACGAAGGGUGCAAGCGUUAUUCGGAGUUACUGGGCGUAAAGAGUAUGUAGGCGGUUUAUUAAGUUAGUUGUUAAAUUCCACGGCUUAACUGUGGGUAUGCAGCUAAAACUGGUAGGCUAGAGCGCAGAAGAGAGGAGUGGAAUUCCCGGAGUAGCGGUAAAAUGCGUAGAUCUCGGGAGGAACACCGGUUGCGAAGGCGGCUUCUUGGUCUGUGGCUGACGCUAAAGUACGAAAGCGUGGGUAGCAAACAGG
rnacentral:rRNA from 1 species